CGUGCUAAUCUGCGAUAAGCGCCGGUAAGGUGAUAUGAACCGUUAUAACCGGCGAUACCCGAAUGGGGAAACCCAGUGUGACUCGUCACACUAUCAUUAACUGAAUCCAUAGGUUAAUGAGGCGAACCGGGGGAACUGAAACAUCUAAGUACCCCGAGGAAAAGAAAUCAACCGAGAUUCCCCCAGUAGCGGCGAGCGAACGGGGAGGAGCCCAGAGCCUGAAUCAGCAUGUGUGUUAGUGGAAGCGUCUGGAAAGGCGCGCGAUACAGGGUGACAGCCCCGUACACAAAAGCGCAUGUGCUGUGAGCUCGAUGAGUAGGGCGGGACACGUGGUAUCCUGUCUGAAUAUGGGGGGACCAUCCUCCAAGGCUAAAUACUCCUGACUGACCGAUAGUGAACCAGUACCGUGAGGGAAAGGCGAAAAGAACCCCGGCGAGGGGAGUGAAAAAGAACCUGAAACCGUGUACGUACAAGCAGUGGGAGCACCCUUUGGGGUGUGACUGCGUACCUUUUGUAUAAUGGGUCAGCGACUUAUAUUCUGUAGCAAGGUUAACCGAAUAGGGGAGCCGGAGGGAAACCGAGUCUUAAUUGGGCGUUAAGUUGCAGGGUAUAGACCCGAAACCCGGUGAUCUAGCCAUGGGCAGGUUGAAGGUUGGGUAACACUAACUGGAGGACCGAACCGACUAAUGUUGAAAAAUUAGCGGAUGACCUGUGGCUGGGGGUGAAAGGCCAAUCAAACCGGGAGAUAGCUGGUUCUCCCCGAAAGCUAUUUAGGUAGCGCCUCGUGAAUUCAUCUCCGGGGGUAGAGCACUGUUUCGGCUAGGGGGCCAUCCCGGCUUACCAACCCGAUGCAAACUGCGAAUACCGGAGAAUGUUAUCACGGGAGACACACGGCGGGUGCUAACGUCCGUCGUGAAGAGGGAAACAACCCAGACCGCCAGCUAAGGUCCCAAAGUCAUGGUUAAGUGGGAAACGAUGUGGGAAGGCCCAGACAGCCAGGAUGUUGGCUUAGAAGCAGCCAUCAUUUAAAGAAAGCGUAAUAGCUCACUGGUCGAGUCGGCCUGCGCGGAAGAUGUAACGGGGCUAAACCAU
rnacentral:rRNA from 1 species